rnacentral:rRNA from 1 species
GAUGAACGCUGCCAGCAUGCUUAAUACAUCAGCAAUUGCUUGGUGGCGGACGGGUUAGUAACGCGUAAAGUACUUACCUCACAGCUUGGGACAACAUUUAGAAUUGAAUGCUAAUACCUUAUCCUGUGAGAGAGCUUUGCGUCCCAUUAGAUCGUUGGUGAGGUAACAGCUCACCAAGGCGAUGAUGGGUAGCCGGCCUGAGAGGGUGAACGGCCAAAAGGGGACUGAGAGACGGCCCUUACUCCUACGGGAGGAAGGAGUGGGGAAUAUUGGACAAUGGACCGAAGUCUGAUCCAGCAAUUCUGUGUGCACGAUGAAGUUUUCGGAAUGUAAAGUGCUUUCAGUUGGGAAGCGGUACCAACAGAAGAAGUGACGGCUAAAUACGUGCCAGCAGCCGCGGUAAUUC